rnacentral:rRNA from 1 species
AGGAACUCACUAGUGAUUUCUGGUUGAUCCCGGCAGAGGCUACUGCUAUUGGGAUUCGAUUAAGCCAUGCAAGUUGAAUGAAUUUAGAUUCAUGGCGUACGGCUCAGUAACACGUGGAUAACUUACCCUUAGGACUGGGAUAACUCUGGGAAACUGGGGAUAAUACUGGAUAUUAGGCUAUGCCUGGAAUGGUUUGCCUUUGAAAUGUUUUUUUUCGCCUAAGGAUAGAUCUGCGGCUGAUUAGGUCGUUGGUGGGGUAAUGGCCCACCAAGCCGAUGAUCGGUACGGGUUGUGAGAGCAAGGGCCCGGAGAUGGAACCUGAGACAAGGUUCCAGACCCUACGGGGUGCAGCAGGCGCGAAACCUCCGCAAUGUACGAAAGUGCGACGGGGGGAUCCCAAGUGUUAUGCUUAAAGGUAUGACUUUUCAUUAGUGUAAAAAGCUUUUAGAAUAAGAGCUGGGCAAGACCGGUGCCAGCCGCCGCGGUAACACCGGCAGCUCGAGUGGUAGCUGUUUUUAUUGGGCCUAAAGCGUUCGUAGCCGGUUUAAUAAGUCUUUGGUGAAAGCUUGUAGCUUAACUAUAAGAAUUGCUGGAGAUACUAUUAGACUUGAAGUCGGGAGAGGUUAGAGGUACUACCGGGGUAGGGGUGAAAUCCUAUAAUCCUGGGAGGACCACCUGUGGCGAAGGCGUCUAACUGGAACGAUCUUGACGGUGAGUAACGAAAGCCAGGGGCGCGAACCGGAUAGAUACCGGGGUAGUCCUGGCGUAACGAUGUGGACU